AUGAGAUUUGACAUUCUUCAAGGCAUUUAUCGCACUUUAAUCAGGGAAUUUCAUCAUAUACAGAUUAAAAUAAUAUAUUUUACACAUUUUUGACCAAUCAACACUUUCCAAAAACAGCAGCUGCUGAUCAGAAAGCCGAAACGCACUUUCCGACAUAGAAGACAACGAACCGUCUCUGGAUUGGACUAGAGAAACAUCUGUCAAGUAGAACACACGACAGCUGAUGACUGGAUUAUUCUCGUGUACAUACCUACAAUGUAGGUAAUCCAGGGUGAUUUGUAGACAUAUGGUAGAUACGGGAAUAUCAAGAAAUGGUUACACUAACUAAACUGUAUAAGUAUUGAAGAAAAUCUAAACUGAGUACUUAUAAAAUGAAAUCUAAACUAAAUGUAAAGUUCAAGGCCAUUAUCGAAAAAGUACCUGUAGGUUAUAUACAUGUAUUUAGUUUAUCUGUACAUCGCCUGGAAGGUGUUACAUUUUACAUUGUAACUCUCUGUAUCGACUCAACAUGUGAUAAUGUAAUUUAAAAUGAAAAAAGAAAUGUAAUAAUCAAACUGUUACAUUUUACGUCCAUAUCGUAUAUUUUUAGUUCAAACACUGGUUUUAUCGUUUGCAAAGGACUCGACAUAUAUGUAUUUUAGACUGUGGAAUUCAUAUGUUACAUUAAAGUUGUAAUUUAAGAA